rnacentral:lncRNA from 1 species
GGACAAAGUCCAGCCCCCACUGACUGCUGAUCUGUAGAGCUGAGACAGGCCCUCUGCACCCAGCACCCAGACUUGGCCUAACUGGAGUCCAGGAGGACAAGUGUGUAUCAUCAGCCUGUCUUCGGCGAAUGGUGGGUCACCUUUGAACAUCGUUACCAGACAGUGUUAGAGUCAAGCCAAGAAAUCCAGCACUGUCCGACACAAUACAGGUGGCUCAAGCCCUGUACUGAUUUCCUCGGAUCACAACAAAGGUGUGUGUCACUGCCUCCAGGCAGCUGCUAGUUCUCCAGCCUCUCUCCUGAAAGCCAACAUUUCUGAGGACCUGACCUGAGCACAGGCUGAGCAGAUGGGAAUGGACACUCUACAGGAGCCUAAGUGUGGUCCUGGCUUUGUUAACACCUCAGAAAUGAACAGUGAGAAAAAGCCAGCGUGCAAGACUGACCAAUUCUGAUUUCACCAUUGUCACCAACCUAAAGGGCUCAGGCAGCCUCCAACCACAGGUCCUCUGGGUCAUGGCUGCUGACAAAAGCUAGCCCUUCCCAGCACAGAAACCAACAGAGACGAGAUCUUCAUGCCCGCCAGCCGCACCCUUCCCUGCACCCACCUCUGAGGCGGCAGCCUACCGUGGUGGAAAAAGUAUCAGGAACAGCAGUGGCUGCUUUAAGAAAGAACUUUCC